GACGAACGCUGGCGGCGUGCUUAACACAUGCAAGUCGAGCGGUAAGGCUCCUUCGGGAGUACACGAGCGGCGAACGGGUGAGUAACACGUGAGUAAUCUGCCCUUCACUUCGGGAUAACCACCGGAAACGGUGGCUAAUACCGAAUACGACCAGUCUUCGCAUGAGGUGCUGGUGGAAAGUCUUUUCGGUGAAGGAUGUGCUCGCGGCCUAUCAGCUUGUUGGUGGGGUAAUGGCCUACCAAGGCUUCGACGGGUAGCCGGCCUGAGAGGGUGACCGGCCACACUGGGACUGAGACACGGCCCAGACUCCUACGGGAGGCAGCAGUGGGGAAGAUUGGACAAUGGGCGAAAGCCCGAUCCAGCAACGCCGCGUGAGGGAUGACGGCCUUCGGGUUGUAAACCUCUUUCAGUACCGACGAAGCGCCCUGUCGGGUGGUGACGGUAGGUACAGAAGAAGGACCGGCCAACUACGUG
rnacentral:rRNA from 1 species